rnacentral:rRNA from 1 species
GCUGCACGACAGUGCGAUAGGGGGAUCCCAAGUGCACAGGCAUAGCGCCUGUGCUUUUCGGUACCGUAAGGUGGUACCAGAAUAAGGGCUGGGCAAGACCGGUGCCAGCCGCCGCGGUAAUACCGGCAGCCCGAGUGAUGGCCGAUCUUAUUGGGCCUAAAGCGUCCGUAGCUGGCCGCGCAAGUCCAUCGGGAAAUCCACCUGCUCAACAGGUGGGCGCCCGGUGGAAACUGUGCGGCUUGGGACCGGAAGGCGCGACGGGUACGUCCGGGGUAGGAGUGAAAUCCCGUAAUCCUGGACGGACCGCCGAUGGCGAAAGCACGUCGCGAGAACGGAUCCAACAGUGAGGGACGAAAGCCAGG